GGGGAAUUUUGGACAAUGGGCGAAAGCCUGAUCCAGCAAUGCCGCGUGUGUGAAGAAGGCCUUCGGGUUGUAAAGCACUUUUGUCCGGAAAGAAAUCCUUGGCUCUAAUACAGUCGGGGGAUGACGGUACCGGAAGAAUAAGCACCGGCUAACUACGUGCCAGCAGCCGCGGUAAUACGUAGGGUGCGAGCGUUAAUCGGAAUUACUGGGCGUAAAGCGUGCGCAGGCGGUUUGCUAAGACUGAUGUGAAAUCCCCGGGCUCAACCUGGGAACUGCAUUGGUGACUGGCAGGCUAGAGUAUGGCAGAGGGGGGUAGAAUUCCACGUGUAGCAGUGAAAUGCGUAGAGAUGUGGAGGAAUACCGAUGGCGAAGGCAGCCCCCUGGGCCAAUACUGACGCUCAUGCACGAAAGCGUGGGGAGCAAACAGGAUUAGAUACCCUGGUAGUCCACGCCCUAAACGAUGUCAACUAGUUGGUGGGGAUUCAUUUCCUUAGUAACGUAGCUAACGCGUGAAGUUGACCGCCUGGGGAGUACGGUCGCAAGAUUAAAACUCAAAGGAAUUGACGGGGACCCGCACAAGCGGUGGAUGAUGUGGAUUAAUUCGAUGCAACGCGAAAAACCUUACCUACCCUUGACAUGGUCGGAAUCCUGCUGAGAGGCGGGAGUGCUCGAAAGAGAACCGGCGCACAGGUGCUGCAUGGCUGUCGUCAGCUCGUGUCGU
rnacentral:rRNA from 1 species